rnacentral:lncRNA from 1 species
AGCCUCCAUAAAAAUCCCUGAAGGACGGUUUGGGAGAGCUCCAGGUGGAGAAAAAGGCCCAGGUGCUGAGAGCCUGGUGGCUACAACUCCACAGAGACAGCAGCUCCUGGGCUCUGGUCCCAUCCAGACUUUGCCCCGGGCACCUCUUGCUUGAAUCCCUUCAAAUCUCCUUCGCUGUAAUCAACAGCAAUCAAGCUGUGAGCCGGGGGCCACUCCAGGAGGAGCUGAUGACAAUCUCUGGUUUUAAGAAGAACUCUCUUUUGUCCUCCACAAAAUCCACAUUUCUUAGAGUAGAGGAAGGGCUCAAAAAUAGUAAGCAGAGGACAGCUAUGAUGAUGCAACCCUGUCAACCCAGCACUCGGGAGGCUGAGGCAGGAGGAUCACCAGGAGUUCAAGACCAGCCUGGGCUACAAAGUGAGUUCAAAGGCAGCCUGGACUACACAGGGAAACCCUGUCUCAGAAAACCAAAACCCAAACCAAACCAAAACCAAAAGUAAGUGGAAUGAAUAACAGAUGCAUGUUCUAAUUUAAAAUAUGAACAAUGAUUUCCUAUUUCAUAGAUGUUAAUGUAGGAACUAAGAGUGGGGUUUUGUCUUGGCUGUUUUUAUUUUGUUAUUCUUUUCUUUUCUUCCUUUAAAAUAAAAUAAGAAUUAAGAGUGGUUCAUUUAUUGUAUGUGUGAUGCUUACACAUGUGCAU